AGAGUUUGAUCAUGGCUCAGGAUGAACGCUAGCUACAGGCUUAACACAUGCAAGUUGAGGGGCAGCAUGUUGGUUGCUUGCAACCAACGAUGGCGACCGGCGCACGGGUGAGUAACGCGUAUCCAACCUACCCUUGUCCAUCGGAUAACCCGUCGAAAGGCGGCCUAACACGAUAUGCGGUUCACAGCAGGCAUCUAAACGUGAACGAAAUGUAAAGGAGAAGGAUGGGGAUGCGUCUGAUUAGCUUGGUCGGCGGGGUAACGGCCCACCAAGGCGACGAUCAGGUAGGGGUUCUGAGAGGAACGGUCCCCCANAUUGGAACUGAGACACGGUCCAAACUCCUACGGGAGGCA
rnacentral:rRNA from 1 species